ACCGAAUAGAUACCCAGGUAGUCCACGCCCUAAACGAUGCGAACUGGAUGUUGGGUACAUUACGGUACUCAGUGUCGAAAGCUAAACGCGUUAAGUUCGCCGCCUGGGGAGUACGGUCGCAAGACUGAAACUCAAAGGAAUUGACGGGGCCGGCACAAGCGGUGGAGUAUGUGGUUUAAUUACGAUGCAACGCGAAGAACCUUACCUGGCCUUGACAUCUGUCGAAUCCUGCAGAGAUGCGGGAGUGCCGCAAGGAACGACAAGACAGGUGCUGCAUGGCUGUCGUCAGCUCGUGUCGUGAGAUGUUGGGUUAAGUCCCGCAACGAGCGCAACCCUUGUCCCUAGUUGCCAACACGUAAUGGUGGGAACUCUAGGGAGACUGCCGGUGACAAACCGGAGGAAGGUGGGGAUGACGUCAAGUCCUCAUGGCCCUUA
rnacentral:rRNA from 1 species